rnacentral:rRNA from 1 species
GAUGAACGCUGGCGGCGUGCCUAAUACAUGCAAGUCGAGCGAACAGAUGAGGAGCUUGCUCCUCUGACGUUAGCGGCGGACGGGUGAGUAACACGUGGAUAACCUACCUAUAAGACUGGGAUAACUUCGGGAAACCGGAGCUAAUACCGGAUAAUAUAUUGAACCGCAUGGUUCAAUAGUGAAAGACGGUUUUGCUGUCACUUAUAGAUGGAUCCGCGCCGCAUUAGCUAGUUGGUAAGGUAACGGCUUACCAAGGCAACGAUGCGUAGCCGACCUGAGAGGGUGAUCGGCCACACUGGAACUGAGACACGGUCCAGACUCCUACGGGAGGCAGCAGUAGGGAAUCUUCCGCAAUGGGCGAAAGCCUGACGGAGCAACGCCGCGUGAGUGAUGAAGGUCUUCGGAUCGUAAAACUCUGUUGUUAGGGAAGAACAAAUGUGUAAGUAACUAUGCACGUCUUGACGGUACCUAAUCAGAAAGCCACGGCUAACUACGUG